rnacentral:rRNA from 1 species
GUCAAGCGAACAAGGGCGCAGGGCGAAUGCCUUGGCACUGGGAGCCGAUGAAAGACGUGAUAAGCUGCGAUAAGCUUCGGGGAGCUGCAAAUAAGCAUUGAUCCGGAGAUUUCUGAAUGAGGAAACUCACCUGGGUUCAUACUCAGGUACAAUACACUGAAAUUCAAAAUAGGUGUAUUGAGGGAACCGCCUGAACUGAAACAUCUAAGUAGGGCGAGGAAGAGACAUCAAACGAGAUUCCGUAAGUAGUGGCGAGCGAACGCGGAAGAGGGCAAACCGAGAGUAGAAAUACUUUCGGGGUACGGACUGCUUUUAAGACUUAAUCUGUUAACCGAACGGCAUGGGAAGGCCGGUCAGAGAGUGUGAGAACCACGUAGGUGAAAACGGAGAGAGCUGCGCAGGAUCCAGAGUACGGCCAGACACGUGAAACCUGGUCGGAAUACGGGGGGACCACCCUCCAACCCUAAAUACUACCCAGUGACCGAUAGCGUAUAGUACUGUGAAGGAAAGGUGAAAAGCACCCCGGGAGGGGAGUGAAAAAGAACCUGAAACCCUGUGCCUACAAGCACCUAGAGCGCGUCAAAGCGUGAUAGGGUACUUUUUGUAGAACGGUCCGGCGAGCGAUUGUAUGCAGCAAGGUUAAGGACUUAAGGUCUGGAGCCGAAGCGAAAGCGAGUUUGAAAAGGGCGUUAAGUUGCAUAUAAUGGGCCCGAAACCGGGUGACCUACCCAUGGUCAGGUUGAAGUGGAAGUAAAAUUCCAUGGAGGACCGAACCGACCUCCGUUGAAAAGGCGGCGGAUGAACUGUGGGUAGCGGAGAAAUUCCAAUCGAACCCGGAGAUAGCUGGUUCUCCCCGAAAUAGUUUUAGGACUAGCCUCAAGUUAGAUACCUGGAGGUAAAGCACUGAAUAGCCUAGCGGCCGAGAGGUUAGCGAAGCUUAUCAAACUCAGAAUGCCAGAGUAUUGAUGCUUGGGAGUCAGACAGUGUCAGAUAAAUGUCAUUGUCAAAAGGGAAACAGCCCAGAUCUACAGCUAAGGUCCCAAAGUCAGGUUAAGUGGAAAACGAUGUGAAGAUACGCAGACAACCAGGAUGUUGGCUCAGAAGCAGCCACUCAUUCAAAGAGUGCGUAAUAGCUCACUGGUCGAGCGUCUUUGCGCGGAGAAUUUAACGGGGCUAAACCUGACACCGAAGCUUAGGCAAUNNNNNNNNNNNNNNNNNNNNNNNNNNNNNNNNNNNNNNNNNNNNNNNNNNNNNNNNNNNNNNNNNNNAAGCGGCUGUGGAGUGUAUAGAAGUGAGAAUGCCGGAAUGAGUAGCGCGAAUGCAGUGAGAAUCUGCAUGGCCGAAAGCCUCAGGUUUCUGGAGGAAGGUUCGUCCGCUCCAGGUUAGUCGGGAGCUAAGGUGAGGCCGGAAGGCGUAGCCGAUGCACAGACGGUAGAGAUUCCGUCACCACCAAAAGAGUUAAGCACAGGGACACAUAUGAAGUCUCAGAGCCGGGUGUUGGUUCCGGUAGAGAUCGAGGGAAAUUAGUACCGAAGUCUGAGAUGGAAGAUGGCGAGAAAAGCUGUGUGUAUUUCUGAGGUGCCCGUACCGCAAACCGACACAGGUAGGUAGGAAGAAGAUUCUAAGGCCAACGGGAGAAGGGUUGUUAAGGAACUCGGCAAAUUGACCCCGUAACUUCGGGAGAAGGGGUGCUCCAGAGAUGGAGCCGCAGAGAAUCGGCCCAAGCAACUGUUUACCAAAAACACAGGUUUGUGCUAAAUCGAAAGAUGACGUAUACGAGCUGACGCCUGCCCGGUGCUGGAAGGUUAAGAGGAGAUGUGCAAGCAUUGAAUCGAAGCCCCAGUGAACGGCGGCCGUAACUAUAACGGUCCUAAGGUAGCGAAAUUCCUUGUCAGGUAAGUUCUGACCCGCAUGAAAGGCGUAAUGAUUUGGGCACUGUCUCAACAGCCCGCCCGGCGAAAUUGUAGUACCGGUGAAGAUGCCGGUUACCCGCGACAAGACGGAAAGACCCCAUGGAGCUUUACUGUAGCCUAAUAUUGGGUUUCGAUGUUGCAUGCACAGGAUAGAUGGGACUCUGGGAAACCAAGGCUUUGGCUUUGGCGGAGAGGCCGUUGGGAUACCAUCCUUGCGAUAUUGGAAUUCUAACCUGCGGCUCUGAAUCGAGUCGGGGGACAUUGUUAGGUGGGCAGUUUGACUGGGGCGGUCGCCUCCUAAAGAGUAACGGAGGCGUUCAAAGGUUCGCUCAGCUUGAACGGAAAUCAAGCAAAAGAGUGCAAACGCAGAAGCGAGCCUAACUGCGAGACUGACGGGUCGAGCAGUAACGAAAGUUGGAGUUAGUGAUCCGGUGGUAUGUGAGUGGAAAUGCCAUCGCUCAACGGAUAAAAGUUACCCUGGGGAUAACAGGCUGAUCUCCCCCAAGAGUCCACAUCGACGGGGAGGUUUGGCACCUCGAUGUCGGCUCAUCGCAUCCUGGGGCUGUAUUCGGUCCCAAGGGUUUGGCUGUUCGCCAAUUAAAGCGGUACGCGAGCUGGGUUCAGAACGUCGUGAGACAGUUCGGUCCCUAUCUGUCGUGGGCGCAGGAUAUUUGAUGGGAGCUGUCCCUAGUACGAGAGGACCGGGACGGACGUACCUCUGGCGCACCAGUUGUUCCGCCAGGAGCAUAGCUGGGCAACUACGUACGGAUCGGAUAAACGCUGAAAGCAUCUAAGCGUGAAGCCGACCCAAAGAUAAGAUAUCCCACUGAUUCAAUCAGGUAAGAUCCCUUGUAGACUACGAGGUUGAUAGGCACGAUGUGUAAGUGGAGCGAUCCAUUCAGCAAGUGUGUACUAAUAGAUCGAGGGCUUGAC